GAUGAACGCUAGCGGCAGGCCUAACACAUGCAAGUCGAGGGGUAGAGGAAGCUUGCUUCCUUGAGACCGGCGCACGGGUGCGUAACGCGUAUGCAAUCUACCUUAUACAGAGGGAUAACCCAGAGAAAUUUGGAUUAAUACCUCAUAGUAUUAUGAAAUCGCAUGGUUUUAUAAUUAAAGUUCCAACGGUAUAAGAUGAGCAUGCGUCCCAUUAGUUAGUUGGUAAGGUAACGGCUUACCAAGACAAUGAUGGGUAGGGGUCCUGAGAGGGAGAUCCCCCACACUGGUACUGAGACACGGACCAGACUCCUACGGGAGGCAGCAGUGAGGAAUAUUGGUCAAUGGACGCAAGUCUGAACCAGCCACGCCGCGUGCAGGAUGACGGUCCUAUGGAUUGUAAACUGCUUUUAUACAGGAAGAAACACUCCCUCGUGAGGGGACUUGACGGUACUGUAGGAAUAAGGAUCGGCUAACUCCGUGCCAGCAGCCGCCGUAAAAC
rnacentral:rRNA from 1 species